GACGAACGCUGGCGGCGUGCUUAACACAUGCAAGUCGAACGGAAAGGCCCUGCUUUUGUGGGGUGCUCGAGUGGCGAACGGGUGAGUAACACGUGAGUAACCUGCCCCUGACUUUGGGAUAACUUCAGGAAACUGGGGCUAAUACCGGAUAGGAGCUCCUGCUGCAUGGUGGGGGUUGGAAAGUUUCGGCGGUUGGGGAUGGACUCGCGGCUUAUCAGCUUGUUGGUGGGGUAGUGGCUUACCAAGGCUUUGACGGGUAGCCGGCCUGAGAGGGUGACCGGCCACAUUGGGACUGAGAUACGGCCCAGACUCCUACGGGAGGCAGCAGUGGGGAAUAUUGCACAAUGGGCGGAAGCCUGAUGCAGCAACGCCGCGUGCGGGAUGACGGCCUUCGGGUUGUAAACCGCUUUCGCAUGUGACGAAGCGUGAGUGACGGUAAUGGGUAAAGAAGCACCGGCUAACUACGUG
rnacentral:rRNA from 1 species